GAUCCUCUGGCCUGUUAGGACAUGAGGCAUCAACAAAUGUGCAAUUAAGAAGAAAAAACCCUUUAAGGAGGGAAUGCUAGAGAAUAAAAUCCCUCUAUAGCUCUUCUAAGAGCCUUGCCAGGAAAGCCAUCUGUCAGGAGAUUAGUAAGAAGGUAAUUUCGGCAGGAAUUUUCCCUUGGGACCAUAUGGAGUGCCAGGAAAAGGUGUUGUGGCAUCAGGAGUGAAGACAAAAGCUCAGGGUCCUCAGCAGUGUUUAUCACAGACAGAAAGGAAACUAUCUACCCAUUCAUUGAGUCUUCCGGAAGAAGAGAGGGAGCUGCAUUGCUUUUGACAGGAGAUCUCGAGAACUAUUGGGAGGAGUUGAUGAAAUCAAAUCCCCUUAAAGAAGCAUGGUUUCCUAUCAACAGAAACAGAGGGAAGGAGAAAAAUGACAUUCUACCAUAUGUGUUUAGAAGUUUACUAACAAGGGAAAAAGAAGAAAGAAGCAAUUGA
rnacentral:lncRNA from 1 species